AAAUAGAUCCGUAACUUCGGGAAAAGGAUUGGCUCUAAGGGUUGGGUACGUUGGGCCUUGGGGAGAAGCCUCUGGCGCAGAAGGGCACUAACCGCAAGGUGGGCGCCUUUCAGCGCUGGGGCGCAGACACCCUUGGCAGGCUUCGGCCGUCCGGCGUACGUUUAACAACCAACUUAGAACUGGUACGGACAAGGGGAAUCUGACUGUCUAAUUAAAACAUAGCAUUGCGAUGGCCAGAAAGUGGUGUUGACGCAAUGUGAUUUCUGCCCAGUGCUC
rnacentral:rRNA from 16 species